UCCUCAGCUGAAACUCUAGAGAGAGAAAGAGAGAGCUUGAAAACGAAGAGGUUUUCUAAGAUUCUAAAUCUAAGAAUCAGAACCAUUUCAUUUUAUACCUACAGUUUUCAAUCUUAGUGUUUAGAUUCAGUUUUUUCAGAGAAUGGUUGAAAUUGAAUAGAUCUAAGACAGUAAGCAUGUUGUUGUUACUAACUAAGGCAAUAGCAGUAAAGAAGAGGAAGAAGAAGAAGAACGAAAAAGAGAAGAAUAGGGUUUAUUCAUCACUUGGUAUGGGCGGAAUCGGUAAAAAACACCUUAAAUCUCUUUCGGGCAAUAUAGCAGACAAAUAAGUUGCCUUUAUUUGUGACGGAUAUUGUCGUUCAAUGUUGGCAAAUCAAGUGGUGCUGGAACUUGCUCUGACCUUAUUGAUUUUGUAAGUCACCACUUAUGCGGUUGAAGCAGUAGAGGUCAUUCGCCAAACAUAAAUUAGAAGCAGAAGCAAAUUAUCUGGGUGUUGCUAAAACAGUCUCGGCAGUUCAACUGGACAGACCAUUGAGAUAAACAAGCUCGAGAGGAUAAGGAAUGGCUGUGGGUAAAACUCAGGAUAUUUCGCACUAGAUGGAAUACUUGGGAACACGGAAGCUAAAUGGAGAAAACGUCAUCGUACACCCCACGAUACAAGUGUCUUGCAGAUAAACCCAACACGUUAACUGACAGGGAGUGGCAGUAACUUGUGAAAUUUUGGAUAUGGAAGAGCAUCAGGAGUAGAAACCACCAAAAAGCCAAGCUCUCAAAUGGCUAGGAAAAACGUCCAUCGCUGCGGAGCUGAAACGACUCAUGAAAUAAAUUAGGAUGCUUUGAGCUGUCUAAAAGCGAAAGUAAGAGAUAUGAGACAUCUUGUAUGCCUAGCUGAAACCUUCAUACCCCGGGCUUCGCUAUAAUUCAAAGUACUACAAGUACAAGAACACUUAGCUAAGAGCCAAGCAGCAUCUUGCAGGGAUUUGCUGUGAUUCUUUGAUGCUGAAGGAAAAGCUCUUGCAGCAUUGCAGUGGCAACACAACUCUUCCUGCUGAGUGACUGUAAAAUUCUGAUUUAUGUUUGAAACAAUGAAGAACAAAAGUUGUGGAAAAUGUUUUUUCACGCCAGUGUGCAGUCUUCUAGUUGUGGGAAUUGUCGGUCAUUUUUCAUGUCUGCUAUAUCCAUAUUACGAAUUUACAGAUGCGAAUGAGCUAAAAAUGGCAAUGGAUAAUACUUUGUAUUAGGAGUUCAGGGUUUCAAGCUUAUAUGCAACACAGUAAGAAAGAAAAAAAAAAAAAAAAAAGGAUGGAAAUUUUGUUAAAUUUGAGCUGGUUUUUGGUUCUCAAAAGCUCAUUUUAUUUAUUUAUUUAGUAUU